GAUGAACGCUAGCGGCAGGCCUAAUACAUGCAAGCCGAACGGAAAGUUUGAUAGCUAUAUUCGCCCUAGAGUGGCGCAAGGGUGCGUAACACGUAUGCAACAUGCCCGCGACAGGAGGAUAGCUCCUCGAAAGGGGAAUUAACACACCAUAACACCAUGAGAAGGCAUCUGAUUAUGGUUAAAACGCAAGGGGUCGCGGAUGGGCAUGCGGAUGAUUAGCUAGUUGGCGGGGUAAAGGACCACCAAGGCGGUGAGCAAUAGGGGUUCGGCGAGGAAGGUCCCCCGCACUGGCACUGGGUUACGAGCCAUACGCCUACGGGCGGCAGCAAUAGGGAAUAUUUGGCAAUGGUUGCAAGACUGAACCAGCCAUGCCGCGUUCAGGAAGAUGGCCUUCUAGGUCGUAAUCUGCUUUUUACUGUGAAUAAAAUACCCGCGCGCCGGGAAUUGAAGGUAACAGAUCAAUAAGCCACGGCUAACUACGUG
rnacentral:rRNA from 1 species